rnacentral:rRNA from 1 species
UACGGAGGAUUCGAGCGUUAUCCGGAUUUAUUGGGUUUAAAGGGAGCGUAGGCGGGUUGUUAAGUCAGUUGUGAAAGUUUGCGGCUCAACCGUAAAAUUGCAGUUGAUACUGGCAUCCUUGAGUACAGUAGAGGUAGGCGGAAUUCGUGGUGUAGCGGUGAAAUGCGUAGAUAUCACGAAGAACUCCGAUUGCGAAGGCAGCCUGCUGGACUGUAACUGACGCUGAUGCUCGAAAGUGUGGGUAUCAAACAGG